CCAGGCAGGAGUACUGGAGUGGGGUGCCAUUGCCUUCUCCGCUAGAAGCUGGCAAAGCUGGAUUCCUAACCAGGAGUUGGGGAGCCCUGAGCCUCAAGAAGUUACCAUCCCUGAUGACAUUGUGUUUUUAGCCCAGCAAAGCUGAUUUUGGACUUAGUAGAAGUAAAAAUCAGACUGAGCAUUUGUCCUAAGACAGAAAUGGUAUGGACCUAACAGAAGCAGGAGAUGUUAAGAAGAGAUGGCAACAAUACACAGAAGAACUAUUCUAAAAAGAUCUUCAUGACCCAGAUAACCACAAUGGUGUGAUCACUCAC